UUCAUUGCUAUCCUGCAUGCAUACAAACACGAUGACUGAUGUCUUCCACCUCCCCUUUGCGUGCUUCGUUUUGUCAGCACCCUUUCUGCACCGCAGACUUUUUUUWAAAAAUUUAAUCGCUUCGCCUCUGAGUGUCACAUAUAUGGUGGAACCGGACCUGCACAGCAGCUCCAGCACAUGCUGUCCCAGACCCAAACCAGCAGCAGCACCAGCACCAGYGGCGGCGGUGGAUCAGCCUGCUUCUCACUUUACCGCCUGUGACUUUAGUCACUGCCUUUCCCUCCUGAGCUCUUCCUCGCAGCGCCCACUUCCUUUGUCCACAAGGCAUGUUUCCUUUCAAACUGCUGAGUGACACGGGGAUGAAGAAAAUUAUAUCUGAGGAAGAGGCAGAGGAGGCAGCAGUGGAUAAAAUGUGACACUGCUGGCUUCGUCAGAGAGAUGGAAGUGAGGAUAAGAAGACAAAAAAAAUGAACUCAUGAAUAAGGAUGUGGAAGCAGAGAGGAAAAGAUCCUGCUGGAAUGAGAAAUGAAGCACACAGAAAGUCAACUUCGCAGCUUCACGCCUGAAUGACGCCCGCUCUGUGAGGUCUCAAGCCCGGCGGUGUUUCGGUGGCAGCAGCCCUGCAGAGACAAAAGGUGAAGCGGUGCUGCAGAGAUGUUGUCAGGUAGGUAGCGAGCAGAAUAAUGGAAUCAAUACUAUUGUCUGUAACCUACCUGCUGCUGGACUCCCUGUCUGGCCCCAGCAGAGAGCAUCAGAGAGAGGUGGUGAAUCAGAAUCACCCUGCCUGGAAGAAGAGAAGAAAAGAAAAGGCUGACUGUAAGGUGAAUCCCUCCUUUUUUUUCUUCUUUUGGGUAAAACUAGCUUUUGUUUCUGUUGCAAUUCGAUGCAAUUCUGUCUGAAACUUCGUCGCCGCUUCAAAUUCACCGACAAUACUAAAACAAGUCAUGCGAGAAUUUAAAAUUCAUUUUCGGAUCCGUCUUCAUGAGCUUUUGUUGCUGUUAAUCAUUAGGGCUGCAUGUUGCWGAGCUCAUGCCUGUGUUUUACGCUCAAUGAGCACCUCAUUACCUGUAGAUUUACCAUAGUUUUAUUGUAAAACUGGCAGCUGUCGAGUCACUUAAAGGGCAUGAUUGAUCAUUUUGCGGCGUGCGUGCACGCAGUCCACGUUGCACCUGCURGAUUCUGACCUGUGAGCGUUUUUGUUUUAUUGAUACUUGACAAUAUUUAGAUGAAACCUCAAAUCCACCAGCAGACAAAAAAACAUAACUCGUACCAGUAAUGACAUGYCUGUCACGCUCGGCGGUCUGCUCGGGCUGAUACGUACAAUUAAAACAGACAUUUUAAAAAAACAUACGACAAGACCUCAGAUUUGCARAAUUUUGAGGCCUGUAGUUUAUGAAGUGAAACAGCAGGUGACAAAAAAAUAUAUAUGAUUAGUAUGUGAUGGUGACACGUUGCAUCUAAAUUUGUGUGUUUGCUGUAAAAAUAAAAACAAAAAUAGAAUAAAAACACGUUUGCAUGUGCAGCGCCAUUAAAAGAGACAAUUUUCUUCGUUUCCACAUGUAUGAGCACAUGCAGUCUCCUCCGGUCUGUACAUGUCGUUCUGUCUGUCUACCAGCGGGUGGCAUCGCCUUGUAGUAUUUUUUUUACACCAUUAAUUUCACUCCCAUUCAUCCCUAAAAAUACACAAAACAAUCACGCAAAGAUUCAUGCUUUUCUCUUUUUGUCCUUUUUGUUUUUGCUCUAGUUUCAGCUGGAUUUGCGAGUCAGAUGAUAGUUUCUGUUUUUUUAUAAUUAAACUGACSAACAAGAACAAAACCAGCGAUAAAAACGCUACAGGAUAAAAUGUUAAAAACGACAAGAUCAUUUAUUUUAGAUCUCUAAACUAUGAAGAUCUUUAUGCUUCAAGUCAAUCAGGUGUAUGAAAAGUGGAAAUCUUACAUUUUCUUUGUAAGCUGUUGAAAAUAAAUCAUUAUAGAAACAAGUCUAUGAAAUAAAUUGUUUUAAAAGAUUUAGCAGUUCUGUGUGCCUUCUUGACUUACGCUCAUUCUAUCUGUUCUGUUAUCAUAAAGACUUCAAGAUAAUCAGUUUUAUUUUUGACUCAUUAAUUGUGUCCUAAUCUGAUGUUUUUAAAAGAUUCUCAGCUAAGUAAAAAAAAAAGCUGUAAACAGUUGAAUCAGACAACACAAACUCAAUUAAUCACGUUGGAAAAUGCCUGUGAUAUUUACCAACAGGUUCGAGCUAAUCGUCUCCCUUUAAUUAAUUCCUCCACAAUUAAUUCACAUGAUGCAUUGCUGRGAUUCUUUGUGCUCUCUGCUGUAUCUGAUUGCUGUGAUGAAAAAGCAKAAGAUUGGCCCUGGAAUAAAUAACGUGGUGUUUAUUGCAGCAGUUUAUGCCUUAAUUAAAGCGCCUGGGUUCGUUUCGGAUCCGCAGUGAAACCAGGAACCCGGCUGGUGCCGCAGAAUCCAAAUGUCAGAUGAGGUCAUGUCUUUGUCUCGGUGCUGCGGCUCUGCGGUCCUUUCUGUUAAUACGUUGUUUUUUUUUUUUGUUGUUUGUUUUUUGUUUUAAUCUCACCGCCGGGCUUUUUCUGUGCAAUAAAUGGCUUCAGUUUUACACCCUCCCUGUGUGUUUUCAUUUUACCGUAUGCCCCUCUGUCCCUGAGACCCUUAACCUGUGAGGUCAAAUCAGGUCACAGGUGAGGUCCUCGGGAACAGGGCUGCAUUCAGUUUCAACGUUUGAAUAAAUGAAUAUUCUGUAGAUAUAAUUCCCCCCCAGAGAAAUCUGUCUUCUAUGUAAGGUUUGAUGUUUCUCCUAAAGGCGCUUUAAAUGCGAGAGAAGCAGAAGAUUAAGAUAUUAAAGCUUCUCAGGCUGAAGCAAGAGAGAAAACGACCACGACGUCUGUCCUGCAGCACAGACUGCUAUCAGGGGGCCGGCCCUUAUUGGCUGUCUUUGUGUUAUAGCCUCCGCUGGGGGCCAAUAAGAAGGCAGCCGAGGGCUGUGA